rnacentral:lncRNA from 1 species
AUAUGGGUAAAUCUACUUGAUGAAACAUAAGUCUGAAACAUUUGAAAGGUUCAAAGAAUUUCAGAGUGAAGUGGAAAAUCAUCGUGACAAGAAAAUAAGAUUUCUACGAUCUGAUCGCGGAGACAAAUAUUUGAGUUACGAGUUUGGUCUUCAAUUAAAACAAUGUGGAAUAGUUUCACAAACUCAUGCCACCUGGAACACCACAGCAUAAUGGUGUGUCCGAACGUCAUAACCGUACUUUAUUGGAUAUAGUGCAAUCUAUGAUGUCUCUUACCGAUCUACCACUAUCGUUUUGGGGUUAUGCAUUAAAAGACAACUCCAUUCAUGUUAAAAAGGGCACCAUCUAAGUCCGUUGAGACGACACAAUCUGAACUGUGGUUUGGCAAGAAACCAAAGUUGUCGUUUCUUAAAAGUUUGGGGUUGCGAUGCUUAUAUGAAAAAGUUUCAUCCUGAUAAGCUCAAACCCAAAUCGGAGAAAUGUGUCUUCAUAGGAUACCCAAAGGAGACAGUUGGGUACACCUUCUAUCACAGAUCCGAAGGCAAGACAUUCGUUGCUAAGAAUGGAUCCUUUCUAGAGAAGGAGUUUCUCUCAAAAGAAGUGAGUGGGAGGAAAGUAGAACUUGAUGAGGUAACUGUACCUGCUCCCUUAUUGGAAAGUAGUUCAUCACAGAAAUCUGUUCCUGUGACUACUACACCAAUUAGUGAGGAAGCUAAUGAUGAUGAUCAUGUAACUUCCGAUCAAGUUACUACCGAACCUCGUAGGUAAACCAGAGUGAGAUCUGCACCAGAGUGGUACGGUAAUCCUAUUCUGGAAGUCAUGCUACUAGAUCAUGAUGAAGCUACGAACUAUGAGGAAGCGAUGAUGAGCCCAGAUUCCGCAAAAUGGUUUGAGGCCAUGAAAUCUGAGAUAUGAUCCAUGUAUGAGAACAAAGUAUGGACUUUGAUGGAUUUGCCCGAUGAUCGGCAAGCCAUAGAAAAUAAAUGGAUCUUCAAGAGGAAGACAGACGCUGAUAGUAGUGUUACUAUCUACAAAGCUAGAAUUGUCGCAAAAGGUUUUCGACAAGUUCAAGGUGUUGACUAGGAUGAGAGUUUCUCACUCGUAUCUAUGCUUAAGUCUGUCCAAAUCAUGUUAGCAAUUGCCACAUUUUAUGAAAUCCGGCAAAUGGAUAAACAAAACUGCAUUCCUUAAUGGAUUUAUUAAAGAAGAGUUGUAUAUGAUGCAACCAGAAGGUUUUGUCAAUCCUAAAGGUGCUAAUAUAACAAAAUAUGCAAGCCCCAGCGAUCUAUGGACUGGUGCAAGCAUCUCAGAGUUGGAAUAUAUGCUUUGAUAAGUUGAUCAAAGGAUAUAGUUUUAUACAGACUUGCGGUGAAGCCUGUAUUUACAAGAAAGUGAGUGGGAGCACUACAGCAUUUCUGAUAAGCAUAUGUGAAUGACAUAUUGUUGAUCAGAAAUAAUGUAGAAUUAUUCUGCAAAGCAUAAAGGAGUGUUUGAAAGGAGUUUUUUCAAAGAAAGACCUCGGUGAAGCUGCUUACAUAUUGAGCAUCAAGAUCUAUGGAGAUACAAUAGUGAUCUAGGAGUAGAUCACUGGACAGCGGUCAAAAUUAUCCUUAGUGGAAUAAGGAUAUGUUUCUCAAUUAUGGAGGUGACAAAAAGGUUCGCCGUAAAGGGCUACGUCGAUGCAAGUUUUGACACUGAUCUGGAUGACUCUAAGUCUCGAUCCAGAUACAUAUUGAAAGUGGGAGCAAUUAGCUAGAGUUGCUCCGUGCAGAGCAUUGUAGACAUAGAAAAUUGCAAAAUACAUAACGGAUCUGAAUGUGAAAGACCCGUUGACUAAGAUUCUCUCACAAGCAAAACAUGAUCACACCUUAAUACUCUUUGGGUGUUAAUCACAUAGAGAUGUGAACUAGAUUACUGAAUCUAGUAAACCCUUUGGGUGUUGGUCACAUGGCGAUGUGAACUAUGGGUGUUAAUCACAUGAUGAUGUGAACUAUCGAUGUUAAUCACAUGGUGAUGUGAUCUAGAUUAUUGACUCUAGUGCAAGUGGGAGACUGAAGGAAAUAUGCCCUAGAGGCAAUAAUAAAGUUAUUAUUUAUUUCCUUAUUUCAUGAUAAAUGUUUAUUAUUAAUGAUAGAAUUGUAUUAACCGGAAACAUAAUACAUGUGUGAAUAUAUAGACAAACAGAGUGUCACUAGUAUGCCUCUACUUGACUAGCUCGUUAAUCAAAGAUGGUUAUGUUUCCUAACCAUGGACAAAGAGUUGUUAUUUGAUUAAUGGGAUCACAUCAUUAGGAGAAUGAUCUGAUUGACAUGACCCAUUCCAUUAGCUUAGCACUUGAUCGUUUAGUUUGUUGCUGUUGCUUUCUUCAUGACUUAUACAUGUUCCUAUGACUAUGAGAUUAUGCAACUCCCGUUUACCGGAGGAACACUUUGUGUGCUACCAAACGUCACAACGUAACUGGGUGAUUAUAAAGGUGCUCUACAGGUGUCUCCAAAGGUACUUGUUGGGUUGGCGUAUUUCGAGAUUAGGAUUUGUCACUCCGAAUGUCGGAGAGGUAUCUCUGGGCCCUCUCGGUAAUGCACAUCACUUAAGCCUUGCAAGCAUUGCAACUAAUGAGUUGGUUGCGGGAUGAUGUAUUACGGAACGAGUAAAGAGACUUGCCGGUAACGAGAUUGAACUAGGUAUUGGAUACCGACGAUCGAAUCUCGGGCAAGUAACAUACCGAUGACAAAGGGAACAACGUAUGUUGUUAUGCGGUCUGACCGAUAAAGAUCUUCGUAGAAUAUGUAGGAGCCAAUAUGAGCAUCCAGGUUCCGCUAUUGGUUAUUGACCGGAGACGUGUCUCGGUCAUGUCUACAUUGUUCUCGAACCCGUAGGGUCCGCACGCUUAAGGUUUCGAUGACAGUUUCAUUAUGAGUUUAUGAGUUUUGAUGUACCGAAGUAGUUCGGAGUCCCGGAUGAGAUCGGCGACAUGACGAGGAGUCUCGAAAUGGUUGAGAUGUAAAAAUCGAUAUAUUGGACGACUAUAUUCGGACUUCGGAAAGGUCCCGAGUGGUUCGGGUAUUUUUCGGAGUACCGGGGAGUUACGGGAAUACGGGGGAGAAGUAUUGGGCCUUAUUGGGCCAUACGGGAAAGAGAGAGAGGGGCUGCCUAGGGCAGGCCGCGCGCCCCCCCAAGGCCUAGUCCGAAUUGGACUAGGGGGAGGGGCGGCGCCCCCUCCUUCCUUCCCUUCUCCUUUCCCCUUCCUUGUCUCCUACUCCUACUACAUGGAAGGACUCCUAGUUGGACUAGGAAAGGGGGAAUCCGACUCCCGGUGGGAGUAGGACUCCCCUAGGGCGCGCCAUAGAGAGGGCCGUCCCUCCCGUCCUCCACUCCUUUAUAUACGGGGGCCGGGGGCACCCCAUAGACACACAAGUUGAUCCGCGUGAUCGUUCCUUAGCCGUGUGCGGUGCCCCCCUCCAUGAUAUUACACCUCGGUCAUAUUGUAGUGGUGCUUAGGCGAAGCCCUGCAACGGUUGAACAUCAAGAUCGUCACCAGCCGUCGUGCUGACGGAAAUCCCCCCGAAGCUUUGCUGGAUCGGAGCCCGGGAUGCGUCAUCGAGCUGAACGUGUGCAGAACUCGGAGGUGCCGUCCGUUCGGUGCUUGGAUCGGUCAGAUCGGGAAGACGUAUGACUACUUCCUCUACGUUGUGUCAACGCUUCCGCUUCGGUCUACGAGGGUACAUAGACAACACUCUCCCCUCUCGUUGCUAUGCAUCACCAUGAUCUUGCAUGUGCGUAGGAAUUUUUUUUUUGAAAUUACUACGUUCCCCAACAGUGGCAUCAGAGCCAAGGUUUUUAUGGUUUGAUGUUAUAUGCACGAGUAGAACACAAGUGAGUUAUGGGCGAUAUAAGUCAUACUGCUUACCAGCAUGUCAUACUUUGGUUCGGCGGUAUUGUUGGAUGAAGCGGCCCGGACCGACAUUACGCGUACGCUUACGCGAGACUGGUUCUACCGCCGUGCUUUGCACACAGGUGGCUGGCGGGUGUCAGUUUCUCCAACUUUAGUUGAGCCGAGUGUGGCUACGCCCGGUCCUUGCGAAGGUUAAAACAGCACCAACUUGACAAACUAUCGUUGUGGUUUUGAUGCGUAGGUAAGAACGGUUCUUGCUAAGCCCGUAGCAACCACGUAAAACUUGCAACAACAAAGUAGAGGACGUCUAACUUGUUUUUGCAGUGCAUGUUGUGAUGUGAUAUGGUCAAGACGUGAUGAGAUAUAAGUUGUUGUAUGAGAUGAUCAUGUUUUGUUGAAAUUAUGGGAAACUGGUAAAAGCCUUAUGGUUGUCUCUCUAUUGCAUAAGAUGCAAGCACCAAAUAGUUGCUUUACUUUAUCGCUAUGCGAUAGCAAUAGUUGCAAGAGCAAUUGUUGGCGAGACGACUAUGUGACGACACAUUGAUAUAGAUCAAGAUGAUGGAGAUCAUGGUGUCAUGCCGGUGACGAUGGAAAUCAUGACGAUGCUUUGGAGAUAAAGAUCAAAGGCACAAGAUGAUGAUGGCCAUAUCAUAUCACAUAUUUUGAUUACAUGUGAUGUUUAUCUUUCAUACAUCUUAUUUUGCUUAGUUCGACGAUAGCUUUAUAAGAUGAUCCCUCACUAAAUUAUCAAGGUAUAAGUGUUCUCCCUGAGUAUGCACCGUUGCGAAAGUUCUUCGUGCUGAGACACCACGUGAUGAUCGGGUGUGAUAGGCUCUACAUUCAAAUACAACGGGUGCAAAACAGUUGCACACGCGGAAUACUCAGGUUAAACUUGACGACCCUAGCAUAUAACAGAUAUGGCCUCGGAACACUAAAACCGAAAGGUCGAGCGUGAAUCAUAUAGUAGUUAUGAUCAACAUAGUGAUGUUCACCAUUGAAACUACUCCAUCUCACGUCAUGAUCGGACAUGGUUUAGUUGAUUUGGAUCACGUGAUCACUUAGAGGAUUAGAGGGAUGUCUAUCUAAGUGGGAGUUCUUAAGUAAUAUGAUUAAUUGAACUUUAAUUUAUCAUGAACUUAGUCCUGAUAGUAUUUUGCAAAUUAUGUUGUAGAUCAAUAGCUCGCGUUCUAUAGCUAAAAGAUGGAGGAGAAUCGCUCAAACAGUGAGCAUGUGCUUAGAUUGUCUGGGUACUACAAUCGCUUGAAUCAAGUGGGAGUUAAUCUUUCAGAUAAGAUAGUGAUUGACAGAAUUCUCUAGUCACCAUCACCAAGUUAGUAGAACUUUGUGAUGAACUAUAAAAUGCAAGGGAUAACGGAUACAAUUCCCAAGCUCUUCGUGAUGCUAAAAUCGACGAAGGUAGAAAUCAAGAAAAAACAUCAAGUGUUGAUGGUUGACGAGACCACUAGUUUCAACAAAACGGCAAAGGGAAGAAGGGGAACUUCAUGUAGAACGGCAAGCAAGUUGCUUCUCAAGUGAAGAAGCCCAAGUCUGGACCUAAGCCUGAGACUAAGUGCUUCUACUACAAAGGAACAGGUCGCUAGAAGCGGAACUGCCCCAAGUAUUUGGCAGAUAAGAAGGAUGGCAAAGUGAACAAAGGUAUAUUUGAUAUACAUGUUAUUGAUGUGUACUUUACUAGUGUUUAUAGCAACCCCUCAGCAUUUGAUACUAGUUCAGUUGCUAAGAUUAGUAACUCAAAACGGGAGUUGCAGAAUGAACAGAGACUAGUUAAGGGUGAAGUGACAAAUGAGAGUUAGAAGUCGUUCCAACAUUGAUAUGAUCGUCAUCGCACACUCCCUAUACUUUCGGAAUUAGUGUGGAACCUAAAUAAGUGUUAUUUGGUGUUGAGCAUGAAUAUGAUUUGAUCAUGUUUAUUGCAAUACGGUUAUUCAUUUAAGUAAGAGAAUAAAUUGUUGUUCUGUUUACAUGAAUAAAACCUUAUAUGGUUACACACCCAAUGAAAAUGGUUCAUUGGAUCUCGAUCGUAGUGAUACACAUAUUCAUAAUAUUGAAGCCAAAAGAUGCAAAGUUAAUAAUGAUAGUGCAACUUAUUUGUGGCACUGCCGUUUAGGUCAUAUUGGUAUAAAGUGCAUGAAGAAACUCCAUGCUGAUGGGAUUUUGGAAUCACUUGAUGCUUGCGAACCAUGCCGCAUGGGCAAGAUGACUAAAACGCCGUUCUCCGGAACAAUGGAGCAAGCAACUGUCUUAUUGGAAAUAAUACAUACUAAUGUAUGCGAUCCGAUGAGUGUUAAGGCUCACGACAAGUAUCAUUAUUUUCUGAACUUCGCAGAUGAUUUGAGCAGAUAUGGGUAAAUCUAGCUGAUGAAACAUAAGUCUAAAACAUUUGAAAGGUUCAAAGAAUUUCAGAGUGAAGUGGAAAAUCAUCAUGACAAGAAAAUAAGGUUUGUACGAUCUGAUCACGGAGACAAAUAUUUGAGUUACGAGUUUGGUCUUCAAUUAAAACAAUGUGGAAUAGUUUCACAAACUCAUGCCACCUGGAACACCAC